ACAAAUCAACCUAAUUGAGGUUGUGGUGACUGUCCUAGGCUAGCCCACUGUAUGGACCAUUCUCCAUACCAGAAACAUCCUCCUUACUGGGAAUCAUUUUCUUUCUCAGAAGAAUAAUAAAGGGAAUGCGCAGAUCUAAUAGAUUUAAUUAGCAGAAUGGAUGAUUGCUAGUGAAUUUGGCCCUAAAAUUCCCCGUUUGGGGGAAAUACAAUAGUUAAAAUGAAUACUUAUAUGUGGGAAGAGAAUGGAUAUAGAGGUGUUUUGCUAACCAUAAAACCUAACUGAAACCAAAGGAUGGAAAACAGGUACUCAAUUAGCUUCGACACAAAAACAUUCACAGCAGCACAAUUCACAGUAGCUGAAAGGUGAAAGCAAUUAAAAUUUUCAUCAACAGAUGAAUGGAUUAACAAAAUAUAGUUGAUACACAGGGUAAACUACUAUUCAGCCAUAAAAAAGUAAAAAAGUACUGAAACAUGCUACAGUAUGGAAGAACCUCCAAAACAUUAUGCUGCUGGGUGUGGCGGUGCAUUGUGUCAUUGCAGUGACUUGGGAGACUGAGGCAGGAGGAUUGCAGUUCAAAGCUAGACUGGACAACUUAGUGAGACCCUGUCUUAAAAUAAAAAUAAAAAGGUUUGGAUGUAGUGCAGUGGUACAAUGUCCCUGAUUCAAUCCCUAGUACUGAAAAAAAAAAUAUGCUAAAUUAUAUAAGCUGAACACACACACAAAAAACCCCACAUAUUGCAUGAUUCCCUUUAUAUGGACUAUUCAGAAUAGGUAAUUCACAGAGACAGAAAGGUUGGUGGUUGCCAGGGGUAUGAAGGCAGGAAUGGGAAGUAACUGCCUAAUGAGAGAGGCAGUGUAUGUGCCACACUGUGAAUGUGCUAAUUAUACUGAAUUGGUCACUUUAAAAUGGUUAAUUUUAUGUUUCGUAAAUUUUGCCUUAAUUUAAAAAUAUCUCAUUUGUACAAGAGGGCUGAGGUGGAGGUCCAGGGAGAGGCCAGUGGCUAGAUUUCCAAGUCUUUGAGGUGAGGAGGGGUUUUGGUAUCCUUGUGGGUGACUGUCACAGAUUCAUCUGAUGGAAGUGUGGGCAAUUUACAGAGCAUCUGCAGUAUGGUACCUCUGUCCUGAUUCUCACGGCUCUUGGAGUGGACUGGCAGGGAAAGUGAGCUCCAUAAGCCCACAGCAUGGCAACCUCAUGGGGAGGUCUGCAGGGAACAAAGUCAUCCAGCACCUCUGAAGUUACCCCCUCAGCCCUCCUACAGGCCCCAUUAUGAGCCACGGGAGAUGACAUCAUAUCAGGACCACAGAGCCAAGACCCAGGCCACCAUGCAGCAGUGGGAGUUUCCAUCCAGGAGGAUUUGGUGUCCCUAGGUGUGCUCCAGUGAGCCAUCUAGCAAAGAAAUACUUUUUGAUCUGAGGAGAUAUGCACCACAGCCAUCCCCCAGUUGGAAUGCCAGGACUCUGCAGAAGAGGGUGGACUAACUCGAAAACAUGGCGGAAUGGGAUGGUCUUGUUUCCUUGGUGACUGAGAGUUCAUGACAAACACUCUCUUGCUUCAGCACACUGUGAGUCUGUCUCCUGGAUGCCAAACUCUUAUGUCUGGAACAGAGUAAGUCCUCAAGAGCCCUCUAUUUAAAGGUGCUGCAGGCGGUCUUUUAGAACUGACAAUCUAAGGAAGCCAGUCAUGCUGUUCACACCUGCCACGGGCAUCCAUGCACCCUCAAAGACUGAGCUCCUCUCCCAUCAGCCACUCCUUUGGAAACGUUCACACAGAGGAGAAUGGCACGAUGGGGAGUUAAUCUGUCUUCCAGUUCAGAAUCUUAAGAAUGGCUUGGUGAUCCUUGAGUCAGUACAUAGCUCUGUCCAGUCCAGGACAAGGAGAAGUCUUAGUGAAAACACAAGAAUCCUGCUCGUAAGGAAAUCUCUAGGGAAUGCCGGGGACUGACAACAGAGGAUUUCUGACAGAAGAAAGAGACAAGGAUUUGGAACAAGCUUCUGAAUGGCAUCAUUGUCCAGUCCCACCGCCCUCCUCCCCUACGCCCC